UUGUGGAUAUUUUGGUUUGGGAGCUGAACCAAAAAAAAAGGGUUCAGACCAAACCAAAAUGGAACUUUUUCGGUUUUCCUCCCCAAAACAAA
rnacentral:sRNA from 1 species